rnacentral:rRNA from 1 species
UACGUAGGGUGCAAGCGUUGUCCGGAAUUAUUGGGCGUAAAGAGCUCGUAGGCGGUCUGUCGCGUCUGCUGUGAAAACCCGGAGCUCAACUCCGGGCCUGCAGUCGAUACGGGCAGACUGGAGUUCGGCAGGGGAGACUGGAAUUCCUGGUGUAGCGGUGAAAUGCGCAGAUAUCAGGAGGAACACCGGUGGCGAAGGCGGGUCUCUGGGCCGAUACUGACGCUGAGGAGCGAAAGCGUGGGGAGCGAACAGG